CCCUCCACCUCCUCAACUCUUGUUCUACACCCAAUUUCCCUUCCUUGGCCUUUUCAGCCUUGUCCAUUGCAAUUUUUAGCGCUUCCUUUCUUGCAGCCAUCUCUUUAUUCACUUCUUCCAACUUCUCUGCAAUUUUUAACUCACACUCCUUAGCGAUCUCAAUUUGAGCAAUUGCAGCUGCCACCCUUCUGUUAGCCUGCUCCUCUGCCUCAUGAGCACGUUUACUCAACUCAUAGUACUCCUCUAA
rnacentral:misc_RNA from 1 species